GAUGAACGCUGGCGGCGUGCCUAACACAUGCAAGUCGAGCGGACGGACGAUAAGCUUGCGUCGUUGAUGUUAGCGGCAGACGGGUGUGUAACGCGUGUAUAACCUACUUAUAUUUCGGGGAUCAUUUCGAGAAACCGGAUCUAAUACCGGAGAAUAUUAUGAACCGCAGUGUUCAAAGGAAAGUGACGGCGUUGGGGGCAGUUAUAGCUGCUUCCGCGCUGCAUUAGGUAGUUGGUAAGGUAACGGCUUACCAAGGCAACGAGGCAUAGCCGAGCUGAGAGGCUGAUAGGCCACACUGGAACGGAGCCACGGUCAAGACGCCUACGGGAGGCAGCAGUAGGGAAUCUUCCGCAAUGGGCGAAAGCCUGACGGAGCAACGCCGCGUGAGUGAUGAAGGUGUUCGGAUCGUAAAACUCUGUUACUAGGGAAGAACAUAUGUGUAAGUAGCUGUGCCCAUCUUGACGGUACCUAAUCAGAAAGCAACGGCUAACUACGUG
rnacentral:rRNA from 1 species